rnacentral:misc_RNA from 1 species
GAUGAAGAACGUAGCGAAAUGCGAUACGUAAUGUGAAUUGCAAAUUCAGUGAAUCAUCGAGUCUUUGAACGCACAUUGCGCCCCCUGGUAUUCCGGGGGGCAUGCCUGUCCGAGCGUCAUUGCUGCCCUCAAGCACGGCUUGUGUGUUGGGCCCCGUCCUCCGAUCCCGGGGGACGGGCCCGAAAGGCAGCGGCGGCACCGCGUCCGGUCCUCGAGCGUAUGGGGCUUUGUCACCCGCUCUGUAGGCUCGGCCGGCGCUUGCCGAUCAACCCAAAUUUUUAUCCAGGUUGACCUCGGAUCAGGUAGGGAUACCCGCUGAACUUAAGCAUAUCAAUAAGCGGAGGA